UGCCCUACGGGGCGCAGCAGUGGGGAAUAUUGGGCAAUGGGCGCAAGCCUGACCCAGCAACGCCGCGUGAAGGAAGAAGGCUUUCGGGUUGUAAACUUCUUUUAUGAGGGACGAAAGAAAUGACGGUACCUCAUGAAUAAGCCACGGCUAACUACGUGCCAGCAGCCGCGGUAAUACGUAGGUGGCAAGCGUUAUCCGGAUUUACUGGGUGUAAAGGGCGUGUAGGCGGGAAAGCAAGUCAGAUGUGAAAACCAUGGGCUCAACCUGUGGCCUGCAUUUGAAACUGUUUUUCUUGAGUACUGGAG
rnacentral:rRNA from 1 species